rfam:Gossypium arboreum cultivar AKA8401 contig_32270_5, whole genome shotgun sequence.
AACCCAUGGUGAGGGCACCUCUCAAUAAAUCAUUAUACCUCUCCUAUGCAUCAUAUAAAGUUUCUAAACCCAUUUGCACAAAGGAAGAGAUAUCAUUCCUUAAUUU